CAGCAGCCGCGGUAAUACGUAGGUGGCAAGCGUUGUCCGGAAUUAUUGGGCGUAAAGGGCUCGCAGGCGGUUUCUUAAGUCUGAUGUGAAAGCCCCCGGCUCAACCGGGGAGGGUCAUUGGAAACUGGGAAACUUGAGUGCAGAAGAGGAGAGUGGAAUUCCACGUGUAGCGGUGAAAUGCGUAGAGAUGUGGAGGAACACCAGUGGCGAAGGCGACUCUCUGGUCUGUAACUGACGCUGAGGAGCGAAAGCGUGGGGAGCGAACAGGAUUAGAACCCCUGUAGUCCCUGUCUCUUAUACA
rnacentral:rRNA from 1 species